rnacentral:rRNA from 1 species
UACGUAGGGUGCAAGCGUUAUCCGGAAUUAUUGGGCGUAAAGAGCUCGUAGGCGGUUUGUCGCGUCUGCUGUGAAAUCUGGGGGCUCAACCCCCAGCCUGCAGUGGGUACGGGCAGACUAGAGUGCGGUAGGGGAGAUUGGAAUUCCUGGUGUAGCGGUGGAAUGCGCAGAUAUCAGGAGGAACACCGAUGGCGAAGGCAGAUCUCUGGGCCGUAACUGACGCUGAGGAGCGAAAGGGUGGGGAGCAAACAGGCUUAGAAACCCUGUAGUCC